GAGACAGAGUCUUGCUCUGUCACCCAGGCUGGAGUGCAGUGGCACCAUCUUGGCUCACUGCAACCUCCAACUCCCGGGAUCUAGAGAUUCUCCUGCCUCAGCCUCUCAAGUAGCUGGGAUUACAGGCACGUGCCACCAUGCCCAGCUAAUUUUUGUAUUUUUUAGUAGAGACAGGGUUUCACCAUGUUGGCCAGGCUGGUCUCAAUCUCCUGACCUCAUAAUCCGCCCGCCUUGGCCUCCCAAAGUGCUGGGAUUACAGAGGUGGGUGGAUUGCUUGAGCCCAGGAGUUUGAGACCAGCAUGAGCAACAUGGGAAAAAAAAAUAAAAGUUUUGUCUCUACAAAAAAAUAUAAAAAAUUAGCUGGCAGGGUGGCACACACCUGUAGCCCCAGCUACUCGGGAGGCUCAGAUGGGACCUGAGCCUGGGAGGUCAAGGCUGCAGUAAGCUGUGAUCCUGCCACUGCACUCCACCCUGGGCAACCCUGUCUCAAAAAAUAAAAAAGACAGUAAAAAUAUCCCUAUACUGGGGCAGGAACUUUACAAGGUAUCCUGUGGCAAAGGGAGCAGAGAUGGGGGGAAAGGGGUGCUAAAAGUUUGAUUGGAAAGGGACUUUUCCAUGGUUACAACACCAACUGACAUGGAAGCUGCACCUCUGAGAGGGCCCUGGUCCUAGAGGUCAACCACCUGAUGGAGAGCCUUGGUAAACCAAGCCCUCUUUCACCAAUCUCAGGAAUCAGGUAGCACAGCCAAGCACUCUAACUUCACACAUAAGGAAAUUGAUGCAGAGGUUCAUUGACUUGCUCAAGAUCAAUCCUGCCAAGAAAAGGCACACCAUGCCUGGAACCCAGAUCUGAUGACUCCAAGACCCUUCCUAUGACUCUGGCCCCCCUGCCCAGCCACUUCUAGUGCCAGUUUUGGGACAGUGAAGGGACAUCUUCAGUGCCAUGAACAGCUGCUGCCGUAGGAAGGCAAGAGGAUGGCAGAACCAAGAUGACCAAACCUUCCUGAGGACAAAGCUGAACAGGCAUCAGAACACCAACAGGAGACUUCUGCCCCGCCCCCACCAUCCUGUGACACCACCACACAAUAUCAGAGCCUUCAUUUUCACCUGCUCAUGGCAAUCCAGAGCAGGUAAGAUUAUUCCAUACUCUACUGAAAAAGACAUCUUCCAGGUUGGUUUCUUCUCAUUUCAAGAAAUGACCAGCUCCAUGAACGGGCCCCUAUAGUCAGGACACUGCUCUACUAUUAAAACAUUUUAUCCUUUCAUUCAUAAUCUGACCUCUUCAAUAAUCAGAAGCAAUGAUUACUCACAUGCUUUAGCAAUAUCACUCCUUUGCCUUUAAGUAAUUGAUUCUUGCUUUUUGCUUCAACACAAGUGGGUGGGCCAGUGAGGGAGCUCCUCCCAGAACAGGCUGCCUUUUCUCCUGAGAGCAGCAGGCACAUGCACUUGUUCCUUCGGGUUGAAUCUGAUUGCUAGCACCAGAUCUCAUACAUGGAGAGGGGUAUGUGAAGCUGAGAGGGGCCUGCAGUGUGCAGGGGCUAGAGACAUGAACACAACAAUGGUAAGCGUUUAUAUCUGCUGAGGCCGAGGAUCCUAUAGAAAAUUCAGAAACGGAGUGGGGAGGAGUCUGAUUUAUGGGAACUGGCAGCAAGGCUAACUGCAUGAGAAGCCUUUCACCCUUUUACUGAGUCCUUGGAUCUGUGGUUAACCCUUAUAAAAUAUAAUUCAGAUUCAAACCACAUCACUCCUCAACUCAAAAUUGUCCAAAAGCUCCCUGCCUCCCUCUGAGCCAGCUCAAGCCCCCGUAA
rnacentral:lncRNA from 1 species